GUCAAAUCAGCGUAGGUGGAUAUCGCAUCUGUCUAACACACAUGUACAGAAGGUCCUCAGUUCGAGUCUGGGAUGACU